UCCGUUGUACGUCGCCCCAUGGGCGCCUGGGAUAUAUCCAGUGCGCGUCUCUAUUAUUACCGACCCUAAAUGGGGGCCAGAGGCGGGUUGGGGUCUAGCCAGUGCCGCCGCAGCUGCUCUCCGAGGCCGCAAGACAGGGGCCAUCGGCCGCGGUCCACGGCGGAGAGAGAGGAUGAGGCGGAGAAAUUGAAGCUGUGAUUUCUUUCCCUUUGUUCUGCUGGUCUUGGAGCACUGCCAUUCCUACUCAAGGCUGCUUGGGAACCAUCUGGCACUCUAGCCGCUCGGUCUUUACCAAGCAGAGGAGAGAAACGAUGCUGAGUUUCCAGUUCUUCAAACACUGGGCUUCUAACUCCCACAUUACUGAUCUAUUUCUCUUGCUCUGCCCUGGAUGGAAUUACAAGGAGAGACUACGUGGAGAGAUGGUGAGAUGACAUGGAGAGAGAGAGAAGCCCAGCUGCACCCAGCAUUCCAGAUACCCCUCCCAGGCGCCAGACGUGAAGGAAACCAUGUUGGAUCUACCAGAUCAACCUCGCUACCAACUGGAUACCACUGAGUGACUCCAGUAGAUGUCAUGUGGGGCAGAAGAAUUGUCCAGUAAGCCUUGCCCAAAUUUCUCACCCACCCAAUCAUGAGUAUAAUAAAAUGAUUAUUGAUUUCAGCCCCA